rnacentral:sRNA from 1 species
CUGUUGCUGCAGCAGCUGCUGCAGCUGCUGCGGCUGCUGUUGCUGCAGCUGCUGCGGCUGCUGUUGCUGCAGCUGCUGUUGCUGCAGCAGCUGCUGCAGCUGCUGCGGCUGCUGUUGCUGCAGCUGCUGCGGCUGCUGUUGCUGCAGCUGCUGCAGCUGCCGUUGCUGCAGCUGCUGCAGCUGCCGUUGCUGCAGCUGCUGCAGCUGCCGUUGCUGCAGCAGCAGCUGCUGCUGCUGCUGCUG